rnacentral:rRNA from 1 species
UACGUAGGGGGCUAGCGUUGUCCGGAAUCAUUGGGCGUAAAGCGCGCGUAGGUGGCCUCAUAAGUCCGUUGUGAAAGUCAAAGGCUCAACCUUUGAAAGCCGAUGGAUACUGUGAGACUAGAGUACGGAAGAGGCGAGUGGAAUUCCUGGUGUAGCGUGGAAUGCGCAGAUAUCAGGAGGAACACCAAUAGCGAAGCAGCUCGCUGGACGUUACUGACACUGAGGCGCGAAAGCGUGGGGAGCGAACAG